rnacentral:rRNA from 1 species
UGGAAUUCGCCCUUGUGCCAGCCGCCGCGGUAAUACGUAGGGUGCAAGCGUUGUCCGGAAUUAUUGGGCGUAAAGAGCUCGUAGGCGGUUUGUCGCGUCUGGUGUGAAAAUCCAGGGCUUAACCCUGGACCUGCAUCGGGUACGGGCAGACUAGAGUGCGGUAGGGGAGAUCGGAAUUCCUGGUGUAGCGGUGAAAUGCGCAGAUAUCAGGAGGAACACCGGUGGCGAAGGCGGAUCUCUGGGCCGUAACUGACGCUGAGGAGCGAAAGCAUGGGGAGCGAACAGGAUUAGAUACCCUGGUAGUCCAUGCCGUAAACGUUGGGCGCUAGGUGUGGGGCUCAUUCCACGAGUUCUGUGCCGCAGCUAACGCAUUAAGCGCCCCGCCUGGGGAGUACGGCCGCAAGGCUAAAACUCAAAGGAAUUGACGGGGGCCCGCACAAGCGGCGGAGCAUGCGGAUUAAUUCGAUGCAACGCGAAGAACCUUACCAAGGCUUGACAUGCAGGGUAAUCCGGCAGAAACGUCGGGUCCGCAAGGGAUCCUGUACAGGUGGUGCAUGGUUGUCGUCAGCUCGUGUCGUGAGAUGUUGGGUUAAGUCCCGCAACGAGCGCAACCCUCGUUCUAUGUUGCCAGCACGUGAUGGUGGGGACUCAUAGGAGACUGCCGGGGUCAACUCGGAGGAAGGUGGGGAUGACGUCAAAUCAUCAUGCCCCUUAUGUCUUGGGCUUCACGCAUGCUACAAUGGCCAGUA